UACGAAGGGGGCUAGCGUUGUUCGGAAUUACUGGGCGUAAAGCGCGCGCAGGCGGUUUUUCAAGUCAGUGGUGAAAGCCCGGAGCUCAACUCCGGAACUGCCAUUGAAACUGUAAAACUUGAGGAUGAGAGAGGUGAGUGGAAUUCCCAGUGUAGAGGUGAAAUUCGUAGAUAUUGGGAAGAACACCGGUGGCGAAGGCGGCUCACUGGACUGGUAUUGACGCUGAGGUGCGAAAGCGUGGGGAGCAAACAGG
rnacentral:rRNA from 1 species